UACGUAGGGGGCUAGCGUUGUCCGGAAUCAUUGGGCGUAAAGAGCGUGUAGGCGGCCAUACAGGUCAGCUGUGAAAACUCGAGGCUCAACCUCGAGACGUCGGUUGAAACCAUCUGGCUAGAGUCCGGAAGAGGAGUGUGGAAUUCCCGGUGUAGCGGUGAAAUGCGCAGAUAUCGGGAAGAACACCCGUGGCGAAGGCGGCACUCUGGGACGGUACUGACGCUGAGACGCGAAAGCGUGGGGAGCGAACAGG
rnacentral:rRNA from 1 species